AUUUUCAUACUGGCAUUGUAGAC
rnacentral:piRNA from 1 species